rnacentral:rRNA from 1 species
UACGGGGGGGGCAAGCGUUGUUCGGAAUUACUGGGCGUAAAGGGCUCGUAGGCGGCCAACUAAGUCAGACGUGAAAUCCCUCGGCUUAACCGGGGAACUGCGUCUGAUACUGGAUGGCUUGAGUGUGGGAGAGGGAUGCGGAAUUCCAGGUGUAGCGGUGAAAUGCGUAGAUAUCUGGAGGAACACCGGUGGCGAAGGCGGCAUCCUGGACCAUUACUGACGCUGAGUGAGCGGAAGCCAGGGGAGCAAACGGG